AGGAGGAACAACCCCAGUGGCGGGGCCAGCUCUGGAAACCUGGAUUCAGCCCCCGCAGUAACUCCAGAGCUCUCCGUCUGCAGGGCCUGGAGGCUCCGGGGCGGG
rnacentral:pre_miRNA from 1 species